rnacentral:rRNA from 1 species
UACGUAGGGUGCAAGCGUUGUCCGGAAUUAUUGGGCGUAAAGAGCUCGUAGGCGGUUUGUCGCGUCUGCUGUGAAAACUCGGGGCUUAACCCCGGGCCUGCAGUGGGUACGGGCAGACUAGAGUGCGGUAGGGGAGACUGGAAUUCCUGGUGUAGCGGUGGAAUGCGCAGAUAUCAGGAGGAACACCGGUGGCGAAGGCGGGUCUCUGGGCCGAUAUUGACGCUGAGGAGCGAAAGCGUGGGGAGCGAACAGG